rnacentral:rRNA from 1 species
AGCAGCCGCGGUAAUUCCAGCUCCAAUAGCGUAUAUUAAAGUUGUUGCAGUUAAAAAGCUCGUAGUUGAAUUUCGGGAUCAAUAUGUCUGUCGUGCCUUCGGUACGUACGGGUAUAAUUGGUUUCUACCUUCUGAUGAACCUUGAUGCCAUUAAUUUGGUGUCUUGGGGACUCAGGACUGUUACCUUGAAAAAAUUAGAGUGUUUAAAGCAGGCAUACGCUUGAAUACAUUAGCAUGGAAUAAUGAAAUAGGACGUUCGAUUCUAUUUUGUUGGUUUCUAGGAUCGACGUAAUGAUUAAUAGGGAUAGUUGGGGGCAUUAGUAUUCAAUUGUCAGAGGUGAAAUUCUUGGAUUUAUUGAAGACUAACUACUGCGAAAGCAUUUGCCAAGGAUGUUUUCAUUAAUCAAGAACGAAAGUUAGGGGAUCGAAGACGAUCAGAUACCGUCGUAG